CGUGCACCGGGAUAGCUGGGCGGAAGGUCCAGGGGCCUGAAGGACCGGGGGCGGCGUGUCUAGGUGCUGCGGCUCCGGGGUGCGCGGACAGCGGCUUGGGCUCGAAGACGGCUUUACAGCCCGGCCGAAUCCCCGAACCCGCGGCACGAUGAGGAAACUAGUGCAGCCUUAAACAGUUCCUUGAGAGCAAAGAGCAAGUUUCCGUUUCCUCAUCAAAUCCACGGCGUCGUCGGGCAUAGUAGGUACUGAAUUUUUGUUGAAAACAGUGAAGUGGUAAACCCAGAAAAACUAUGUGUGGCCCAAAGGCCAAGGUCCCCUCGAAAUACUUAUCUCUGAGAAUUUUCAGACUUCUACGCAUAAACCGAAGAGGAGGAAAGCUACACAAACCACUGCGACUCGAAGUGUGGUCUGUGCACCAGCAGCGCCAGCGGCCCCUGGAAGCUUGUUAGAGACGUCGUUUCUCGGUGUGUUCUCAGAGCUACUGAUCAGUACUGACUGCAGGCACGGAGCCCAGCAGCCGUGCUUAACAGUCUCUCCAGAUGCUGUUCAAGAGCCCCCUGGAGGACCCCACAGCCCACGGCAUGUAGACUGACUCUUUGUGGCCACACUGGCGCCGCCUGCGUCUUCACCAGCGCUCCCACACCUGUCCUCCCACCUGGAGACCUGUCCCUGCGAAUUGCUCUUCCCAACCGUCCGCCCUGUGUUCUGUGUGGCCUCCGUGCUCCUGUGCCCGCUGGUCUCUGCCCGUGAAGCCUUCCCUCCUUCAAGGGCCGCUCACGGGAAGCCUCCCCGCCCUCCGUGCGGGCAGUCACUGUGAAUCCCUCUGCAUCUCCUGUGUGCCUCCACCGGGCCUCGCUCGGGUCGUAAGGUCCGUGGCCCACCUGCAUUUUACCUCUUCCGAAAUCACUGCCGUUGGAAAACCCAUUUUGAUAUCCUUUGAAAGAGCAUUUAUUUAUUGAAUGCUAACUCUGUUCUAGGUCUCAGUGGCCCCCUGAGGCAGGUGUUAUGCCUUUUCUUAGAGGGGCCCCAGUUUUGCAGUCCCGAUGCUGAAGAAGUCUACCAGUGACCAUGGUUUGAAGUUAGCGAACACAGGCAGGCGGGGGACGCGCGCGGGGAGAGGCAGAUGGGAUCACGCACGCGCACGCACGCGCACGCACGCACACUCGCACGCAUGCGCACGCACCCUGCGUACCUGCACAGGUGUGGAGCCGCAAAGUGGUCCAGUGGGAAGGAUACGUACGAGCGAAUCAAGACACCAGCGAUCGGCUCUCACCUCUGCGACGUGGAUUGUGCUUCUCAUCUGACCAUCGGAAGAGUUCGUCUCCCAGGUCCCCUCUGCCUGAUUCCACAUUUUACGCACCUUGGCAGGGAGUGAGCAAAGCUCUCCAAGAACAGAACUCCCAGUGUCAGGACCGCCUGGUAGGUGCGGGUGAGGAAACCGGGGCUGCCGUCCAACAGAAACGCCAGUUUGCUGUGCUGUACCCUGAUGAAGGCUGCAAUUGUGAUUUUCUGUAAAACAACAGAGAAGCUGCAGUACCUGGGCAGCCCAAGCCACAUGACCCACGACGGGGACCAGCUGGCAUCGUACUCAUUCUCGCUGACGGUGCUGGGCUGCUCAUCUGGGCCGUGGGCGGCCUCCUCCACAACCUGCACCUCCAGUGCUGUCAGGGCCACCGUGGGCGACGUGGCGCUGGCCUUCAGCAUAGCCACAGCCUCACUGUGACUUAAACUGGUCAAAUCGAUGCCAUUGAUAUUCAACAAGAUGUCACCUGUUCAAAUAAGGGAGCAAGAAAACUGAGCCACCAAGUGAUUACUUCCCUGGAAAUCCUGUUAUCUGUAAACUAAUCAACAAAGACUUCUCACUUCAGAAAGUCCACUCGAGGGCUUCCCUGGUGGCGCAGUGGUUGAGAGUCUGCCUGCCGAUGCAGGGGACACGGGUUCGAGCCCUGGUCUGGGAAGAUCCCACAUGCCGUGGAGCGACUAGGCCCGUGAGCCACAACUGCUGAGCCUGCGCGUCUGGAGCCUGUGCUCCGCAACGAGAGAGGCCGCGACAGUGAGAGGCCCGCGCACCGCGAUGAGGAGUGGCCCCCGCUCGCCGCAACUGGAGAAAGCCCUCGCACAGAAACGAAGACCCAAUGCAGCCAUAAAUAAAUAAAUA